CCACACAGCCGGGGAGUCAGCGGUGCCCUGUACCUGCAAUCCGCUACAGCAGGGGUGAUGGUUUGACUGAGGGCGCUUGUUUGUAGAGCUGCCCCUUGUAAGCGGUGUUGACGUUUGGGUCUCACGCAACGGAAACCUGUGAACCGUGUCAGGUCGGGAACGGAGCAGCACUAAGCAGGACCUUUCGUGUGACGUGAGGGUGCCUGGGCCGAGCUGGCUGCAAGGGUAACGUCUGGGGACGGCGUUCGAAGCAAACCGUGUGG
rnacentral:SRP_RNA from 1 species